AUGCGAAAAUCAAACGCCGCCAACGGUUUCACCCCGGAAAACAACUGUGAUCAUUCCACGUGAUUUCAGACCCGCUUGAUGGAUAUUCCGAUAGAUUUUCCGAAAAUCGGAUUGGAAAAAAGUCAAUACUCUGCGAGUAACGUUUUUUACGUAAUGCCGAUAGCUCUGGAUAAUAUAUUUUUGUACAAUGUACAGAGAUACGCGAUUUCGUUACGCUGGUAUAA